rnacentral:misc_RNA from 1 species
AAAACUAGAAUGAAAGGUUAUACAUUCAAAUUUCUUUAUUAAUUUUUAAUAAAUAAUUUAUAUUAAAUAUAAAAAUAUAUCUAUAAAAAAAAAAGACGACAAGACCCUAUUAAAUUUUACUUAUAGUUUAGCUGGGGAAGCUUUUCAAUUAAAAUUUUUUAAAAUCUUAAAAUAAAUAUCUAAUUAAAAUUAAAAUUUAAAUAAAUUACUAUAGGGAUAACAGCAUUAUAUUUUUUAAAAGUUCAUAUUAAAAAAAAAUGAUUGUGACCUCGAUGUUGAAUUAUAUUUUCUAUAUUUAAUGCAAUAAUUAUAAAAGUAGAUCUGUUCGAUCUUUAAAAUAUUACAUGAUUUGAGUUCAAACCGGUGUAAACCAGGUUGGUUUCUAUCUUUUUAUAUAUUUUUCCAGUACGAAAGGACAAAAAAAUUUUUAUUUUAAUAAAUUAGCAAAUAAAUGCAUUAGAUUUAGAAUCUAAAUAUAUUUAAAUU